rnacentral:ncRNA from 1 species
UCUCAUCAAGAGAGGUGGAGGGACUGGCCCGAUGAAACCCGGCAACCGGCACAGGCAAUGUGCAAGGUGCUAAUUCCUGCAGAAUCUACAGAUUCUGAGAGAUGAA